CCUGAGCUGCGGAUACUUGAAUUGUCGGAUAACAGCUUUACCGGAAGCUUGCCACCAAGUUUCUUUGUUAACUGGAAAGCAUCAUCAGUCAAGAUAAAUGAAGAUGGGCGUAUGUAUAUGGGAGACUACAAAAAUGCUUAUUAUAUCUAUGAAGACACUUUGGAUUUGCAAUACAAAGGUCUAUUCAUGGAGCAGGGGAAAGUCCUUACUUCCUACAGCACCAUUGAUUUCUCUGGAAACAAACUUGAAGGACAGAUUCCUGAGUCCAUUGGUCUGUUGAAGGAAUUGAUUGCGCUCAACUUAUCAAACAACGCCUUUACUGGCCAUAUUCCUAUGUCUUUGGCAAAUGUUACGGAGCUUGAGUCACUAGACCUGUCAAGAAACCAACUAUCAGGGAAUAUUCCUAGAGAACUCGGAAGCCUUUCGUUUUUGGCGUAUGUAAGUGUGGCUCAUAAUCAACUCAAAGGUGAAAUACCACAAGGACCACAGUUUAGUGGGCAAGCUGAAUCAUCAUUUGAAGGGAAUGUAGGUCUAUGUGGUCUUCCUCUCCAGGGAAAUUGCUUUGCGCCACCAACACUCUAUUCAAAGGAAGAAGACGAAGAAGAAGAAGAGGACGAAGUGUUAAACUGGAAAGCAGUGGUUAUCGGGUAUUGGCCUGGACUGUUACUUGGAUUGGUAAUGGCACACGUCAUUGCUUCAUUCAAGCCGAAGUGGUAUGUCAAGAUAGUUGGUCCAGAUAAGGGCAAGCAAGUAGAUCCAGUUAGAUUGUUUAUGACUCUGGAUUCAAGAUGGGACAGUUUUAAUAAUAAGGAUAAUGUAGAAGAAGAAAGUGAUACGAAAAUAUAGAAUGUGGAUAUGUUGUUACCUGAUGUAAGAAAGAAGUUGACUAGUUUCUGUAACUUUUGGUUCCCUAAAUUAAGAUCUCUCUUUUGGCUGAUAAUAUCCUGAUGUAUCUCUUGGUAGAUUGUUGAGGUAGAGGCUUAUGACAUAAGGCAUUGGUUCUUCUCUGAUUCUUGAAUUAACCCGAGCCGAUGUUUCUUAAUGCACGAAAACCGUUGUUUCAGCUUCCUAUUAAGACAAACUGGAUGAAAUGAACAUAAGACAGUCCGAGCCUGUAAGAUCAUACAAGUCUCAAGAAUUCAAUCUCAGAACAGACAUUCACGAGAAUCUCUUUUUUAAAAUGUAAAUGCUACCACUCACAAUUGAUACAAAUCAGUUUAUAUCAUGAGAGGACUUACCAAAUAUAACAAUCUUGUUACACUUUGAACUAACAUUCUCAGAUAACAGAGUAUGCACAACAUAUCAAUCCAGAGUAGCUAAAACCCUAGAAUCAAAUUCACUAAAUUGAUUUCAUUUCAUGAUUCGAUUAUUCUUGCUUAUCAAAUCACGAGAGAAAAAAAAAAAAAAAAAAAAGAGUACAACAAAUGAGAUCACCUGGAACUACUUGAUUUAGGAAGCCUCUACCAAAACGUCGACGAGAGUGACGGUGAUCGCAAUAGCUCCGCCGUCGUCGCAUCAUAAAAUCUCCUUCUCGAUUUGUUUGUUACUAAAGUAGACUUUACAGGAAAUACUAACAAUCUGGUUAAUUAAAUUAUUAUUACCGGUUUUGUCUAAAUUGGUUUACUUACUGCUGGUUUAGCAUUUUAAAAAAUUAGUGCUGCUGGUUCAGCUUCUUUUUACUACAAACAAACACCAAAGAGAUCUA
rnacentral:lncRNA from 1 species